rnacentral:rRNA from 1 species
GAUGAACGCUGGCGGCGUGCCUAAUACAUGCAAGUAGAACGCUGAAGGAGGAGCUUGCUCUUCUGGAUGAGUUGCGAACGGGUGAGUAACGCGUAGGUAACCUGCCUGGUAGCGGGGGAUAACUAUUGGAAACGAUAGCUAAUACCGCAUGACAACAGUUAUUGCAUGAUAACUGUUUAAAAGGGGCAACUGCUCCACUACCAGAUGGACCUGCGUUGUAUUAGCUAGUUGGUGAGGUAACGGCUCACCAAGGCGACGAUACAUAGCCGACCUGAGAGGGUGAUCGGCCACACUGGGACUGAGACACGGCCCAGAGUCCUACGGGAGGCAGCCGGAGGGAAUCUUCGGCAAUGGACGGAAGUCUGACCGAGCAACGCCGCGGGAGUGAAGAAGGUUUUCGGAUCGUAAAGCUCGGUUGUAAGAGAAGAACGAGUGUGAGAGUGGAAAGUUCACACUGUGACGGUAUCUGACCAGAAAGGGACGGCUAACUACGUG